UCAAUCAUUUAUCCUGUAACAAUCAGUUCUGAUCUUCUGUUCCUGGUGUCCACUGUAAUAAUGAUUAUCAGAUCUAUGUUUGGUUUCAGACGUGCAUGUGUGUGUGUGCAGUGCAUUGUGGGUAAAAUAAUCAGGUCGUCUCACCACAGUUCACUUCAUCAGAAGAAUCAGGACACUGAACCACACCAUCACAAACACUGGAACUGGACACACAGCGUCCUGACCGGCACUGUGAGGCGUGGAGGGUCUGCGCUCCUGACCUGGUCGGCCAAGGUUGAAGCCGGUAGUGAAAUUAGCCAGAAAUCCUCGAUCGUUUCCAGAAGAAUCAGAGAAAAACAUCACGGUCAUCUGAGACGAGGUGGAGAAAAGGAACCAGAGUGAUGAAACCCUCACCUAAUAAUGUAGAAUGAGGUUCCACACCGUCUCGGACCUCCAGCACGUCGUACAAAGCUUCUAAAGCCACGUCCUGGAAAUGCAGCUGGAUGUUCUGACCUUCAUCAGCGUGUGUGGUCGUGACUCGGUCCAGAAAGUGAAGGAAGCGAAGAUCCACUCAUCCUGAUCCAAAAUCCAUCAGCAUCAGCAUCACGUCUCCAGAAACAGAAACCGUCCUCAAACGAGCAGUUUAUCUUCUCAUCAUCUAAAACAUCCAGAACCAAGAACUCAGAACCCAGAACCAGGAACUCAGAACCAAGAACUCAAAACUUAAAACUCAGAACCCAAAACCCAGUAUUCAGAACCAAGAACUCAGAGCAGAACAGAGGGAGAACAUGCCAGGCUUUAUAUUUCUGGACUGGUUUAGGUGUGGGACGUACUGGUGAGGUGGGCGAGGCUCUCCGCUCUGUACGUGGCAUUAAACUCCCGCCGGUGAGAAACUGAAUCGGACCAAAACUCCACCGUGGCAUUCUGGGAAAAAAUCCAGACGACUCCAGGAGGAGAAGAACCGGUCAGAGAGUCUGAGAGAGAGAAGAAGAAACU